AUUGAACGCUGGCGGCAUGCUUUACACAUGCAAGUCGAACGGUAGAGGGGGCAACCCCUUGAGAGUGGCGAACGGGUGAGUAAUGCAUCGGAACGUGCCCAGUCGUGGGGGAUAACGCAGCGAAAGCUGUGCUAAUACCGCAUACGAUCUCUGGAUGAAAGCGGGGGACCGAAAGGCCUCGCGCCAUUGGAGCGGUCGAUGGUAGAUUAGGUAGUUGGUGGGGUAAAGGCCUACCAAGCCAACGAUCUGUAGCUGGUCUGAGAGGACGACACGCCACACUGGGACUGAGGCACGGCCCAGACUCCUACGGGAGGCAGCAGUGGGUAAUUUUGGACAAUGGGCGCAAGCCUGAUCCAGCAAUGCCGCGUGCAGGAAGAAGGCCUUCGGGUUGUAAGCUGCUUUUGUACGGAACGAAACGGUCUGGGUUAAUACCCUGGGCUAAUGACGGUACCGUAAGAAUAAGCACCGGCUAACUACGUGCCAGCAGCCGCCGUAA
rnacentral:rRNA from 1 species